GGCGCCAUCUCUAUGGAGCAGGAGAGCCGGAAGUCCUCCUCCACGUUCAUGUGGGCAAUUUCACUUCGGUUUCUUGGACGGUAUCUCCAAAACCUCAAGAAUGGUCGGCAGUGGACACAGCUGUGUCAAAUCAAGCUCAAGUCCUUCCUCUAAAGAGCGUUCUACAGCUAUCUGGAUAUCUCUUCCUUGGGAUGGAGAACAUCUGAGCAUCUAGAACAAACUAGACCCACAGAAACCCUUCACUCAUGCUGUGGUCCUUUGGCCAAGGGCACCUUCUACCUGUGAGCUGUCUUUAGCGUGGGACCAAUUCCUGUUUCUCUUUUGACUUUGUGGCCUCUGUAACCCUCCCUGAGCGGCCACGAUCCUGUAUCCGUGGAGGUCCCAGACCGUGCCCCUACUGCUACUUGUCUGCCUGUGACAAAUAUGGGACUGGCACUUCGGUAGGGAAAAGCAGCAGCAGGAGUUGAUCAAUUCCUAAGCAACGAAGAUCCUGUUUUCAUGCAAACGUCCUCAGCAUUAAAACAAAAACAAAUUCCUCCCAGGGCGCGUCCUGGAUGCCAAGUCUCGUUGCAAGACACAUUUUUAAGCGAAGUUUUGCGCCUGCGUGAGAGACUAACAGACUGGGAGGAGAGCUGUGUGCCAAGUGCCGUCUCGAAAUGCUCUCAUUUAAACCUUACAGCCGCCCCGCCAGCUAGGCACAGUCGGAUCCCGAUUUGACAGACAGGGACACAGGCAGACAGAAAUGAGGGAACGUGUCAGUGUCAAUCAGCUGGGAAAUGGCAGCAAGGGGACGUGACCGAGUCUGAUUGAGGCUAUGUUGUUUCUGACACAGACACAGGUAUCAACUGCCACUGUGUUCACCCACAGAGGCCAGGGGUACGACCACGGACAUUUCAGAUGACAAUAAGCGAAAUCUUCUUUUUUUCUGAAUGUACCUUUUGUACUUUUCCCAUCACCAAAUAAAAAGAAAGAAGGAUGGUG